GGGAGCUGCCUCCCGGGCAAGGCACCUGAAACCUGUCUCAGCAGAUUUCCACUGCCAGCCUGCCUUCCAUCCAGGAGAGGAGUGAGGCAUAUGGAGGCAGGCUCACCAUCGGUUGGAACUAUUUUUCUGUGCAUGGGGAUGAAGAUAAGGGACUGAAUGCCUUACAAUCAUAAAGAGUGUUCAAGAGCUGUGCAUUAAAGGGAUCCAGAGAAGACCCUUGCUGUGGAAAGGAAGGAGAGACAAUUUAAUCUCAUCAGCCAUGGGAUUACUGGGCUGUGCAUCUCCCAUCAGUCUUACUCCUGCUGAUGGGCAAGUGCAGCAGCAGGAAUAAUCCAGCCUGACUCCCACCAGCAGCUCUGCCAGUCAGCUCCUGAGCCACGUUUUCAAGGAGAAAUCACAGUGCUCAGCCAGGAAAUGGGCUCCUGAGAGGAGGGAAGAAAAGGAACAUCAGGUGGAGGAGCAGAAAUCCUUCUGAAAGGCUGCUGUGCAGGGAGACGAGGAGAGAGACAAAUCACAGGGAAGGAUGGGCCAGUGGGGGUGCAAGCUCUCUGCCAGGAAGAGGCAAGAGAAAAAUGUCUCAAAUUGUAACCCAGACCUCAGUCUCCUGUAGAUUGGCAGUGACUUUACAGAUGCACUUUCAGGUGAAUGAGAUGUCAAACUCCCACACCUCUCAGCAAUUACCAAUACCAGUGCCUCACUAGGGUAAUGGUACCCAGUCUUGAGUUUUUAAUGUCAGUCAGGAGGAUUC